rnacentral:lncRNA from 1 species
AAGUCCAGAUGGGUAUCACCAAAAAUAGUUGAUAAGAGCUGUAGUCGGGUUCUUACUAUCUCUAGUUUGAACUCUUUAAUUAGGCUAAUCAGUAUCUCAAUUAACUCAAUUCCUUGUUAGCUAAGUUAUCCUAGAUUAGGUUCUUCUUUCUCAAGUAGAGACAGGGUCAAAUAGGCAUAAAUUAAUGUUUGCAACCGUUAAUUCUAAAAUUAAAGUAUGAACUAAUCUAAAUUAUCAAUAUUGGGUCAAAUAGGCAUGAAUCAAUGUUUGCAACCGUUAAUUCUAAAAUUAAAGUAUGAACUAAUCUAAAUUAUCAAUAUCGAACCAUAAA